CAUUUUGUGCCUUCUAAUGAAAAGCUGCCAAACUCACAGUAAUGAGGCUGUUUUACUGAUAAGAAAUAAUAAACACCUGAGUCUGAACAUGAACUGCCAUCUCAAGUGCCCUCAAUCCACACCCAGGGAAAGGAACAACUGGAACCCCCACAAGGAAGCACCGUGACCGUGCAGGGGAGCAAUGUCACCAUGGCUGGCAGGGGCUGGGGCACACACUCGGGGUGGAGAGUGCCGUGCUUUUCCUGCAGGGUUAUCCUUGCAUUCAGCAGAGGGAGGAAGGUGAUGGUACAGCUGAACGCAGGCGGCAACCUGCCCCGGCACAUCCUGCAGCCUGCGCCUCUCCGGGUGUUUUUUGGGGAAGUAGCAGAACUUUUCCAGCCUUGCUUUACAUCAGCAACACAGAACAUGGGGCAUGAAGGACUCGGAGCGAGCCUCAGUGCCAGCAAACAGCGCAUCCCUGCCCGGGCUGGGAGCUUCGGAGCGGCUGGGGAGUGGGCACACAGAGACCUGGAUCCUGGAGAAUGUACAGCAGCUUCAGCUCUGUGCCUGCAGCACACAGGGAAUGUCUGCCUGCACGGGAGCAUCCAGCCAUGGAGCCCUGCUCUGCUGCCCUGGCCAGGUGAGAGCUCAGCUAACUUCAUGUGGCAGCCACUGGGAGUGUGCUCUGAGGAACUGGCCCAGAGGAAGAGACUCUGCACUUGUGGCUCAUCAGCCCUGGCAGGAAGCAGCAGGUCAAAGUUAGAAGGAACUUAAAAGCUAAUGAGUGAGUGGUGCUGCAAGAAAGCAAGGCUCCACAGUCAGCAGGGGAGCUUGGGGCUCUCUGUCUCUGUCCUUAUUCCACUUCCUCUCUUCUUGCUCACUUCUGUUUAACCAAAGAAGUGCCAAGGUGAUGAUCUGUCAGAUGGGAAUUUGUAGGUGAGACUGUGCCCUCUCCUGAUCUGAGCACAGCUCCCUCUGGAAAAUGGGGCUGUGCAGAAAACACACUGUUUAAUCUUCCUCAAUAUGUUUUUAUGAAAUUAAAUUAAAUCCUCAUGACUCUAUAUCUCAGUUUGGCAGAUACUGUUUUUUUUUCAGGCAUGUGUAAGGUCAGUAGUUAAAAUGUAGCAGUCUAAAACUACAGGGUUUGACCAUUCUGUGCAAAAAUUGGUACAAUACAGUGGCAGAAACAGGAAUAUAUAUUGCUCUUGCCAGAUGAUAGCAGAGUUUUUUCCCUAGGUAGGCUUUGGGAAGCCCUUCUUGUUGCACUUUCCAAAGGGCACAAGGUCACAUCACAAAGCAGACUUACAUUUUGGAGUGUAUUUGUCUCUGUGCCAUGAGUUGGGUCAGGUUUUUUUUACUCCUCCUUUAGUAUUGGAAUUGAAAAUUCAAGUUGGAGAAAUGUGAAAGCAAUUGGGCCUAAUCCAUUCCUGUUGUUACUCCUUUUGUUUUCACUGGAGUUACUCCAAGGCUGAAUUCAGCAUAUGAUGAACAACUUGUUCUCCAAAGCUGGAAGUUAGGGGAGAAGGUUUUAGGGAUGAUCACGCAACUCUGGGGCUCCUUCUCAAACAGCUGAAGCUCCCACAAGAGGGAUGAUAUUUGGUGAGUUCAGAUUAUUGAAUUUAGUGCAGCAUUCUAGUAAUGAGCCCUGUAGUCAUAAUAAGACAUUAUUAUCCCUUAGAAGAAUUACUUGAAUAAAACCCAACUGCUUGCUUAGAUUAGAUGGAAAAAUCCUGUUGAUCUCAUUUACCAGUCAGCUGCACAGAUACCAACCUUGAGCAAACACAAAUGGUUCUGACCCUGGCAAUCCUCAUCCUGCUCCCUGUCCUCUCAUCUUCUCUGGGACCAUCCCCUCCAGGGUUGCUGCCUGUGAAAUGCUCACUGCUCUUCAUGCACUGACCAUCUCAGCUGCAGCCCGGGGCAGUCUCCAAAGAGGUUCAAGCCCUAAUUCUGGCUUGGCUAGAUGGAAAAAGGAGGGUGCUACAAGCUAUGGAGAAGCUGAGUGCAUCUAGCUGAGCACUAGGUGCUGUUUAUUUGAGUUUGGGGUAGGUUGUUUGUUUGUUGGGGUUUUUUUUCAGGAUCAAGGAUAUUGCUGUUAAGAACUAAGAUGAAACUCUUUACAAAUUUAUAAGAUGAACCAGUCCUCACUGCUGGUUAAUUCCUCCUGUGUUCCUGUGAGAUGUUGGAGUGGUCAUGGCAGAGGCAAGAUCCCCAUGGUAAAAUUAAGCUUUUCCUUCUUGGAGAAAUAACCAUUACUGUCUCUCUGGCUCACUCUGUUUCAUUUACUUUCUAAACAAUUUAGAUCACAAAGGGCUCCAGGAGGGAUGCAGCACUUCCAAAGAGAAGGCCUGGGUGACUUUCUCCAAUUAGGGAGGGUCUUGUGAAAGUUGUGCUUCCUGCCCUUGCCCAGAGAAUGGGAUUUAUAACAGAUGCUUCUGCAGCCUGCAUUGUGUGAUUUGGAAGGUGGAGGAUGCACCAAUCUCGCUGUGCCUGGGAGCCCAGGGCAGCUUUCUGCUGAACAGCACAGGUCCUGGCUGACAAACUGAAAAUCCCAGAGCCCAGCUGACACUGAGAUCACCUUCUUGCAUGAGCUCUGGUGUGCUGGGGCACAUCUCCUCGGCAGCUUUGCUCAGGCAGUGUCCAGUGCCUCAGCCAUGGUAUGUCCUUGGUCUUGCUGAGGUUGAGCACUUCUCUGUUACCCUUUGGUUUUCACCUUCCUCCUCCUUUCCUUUACUUCUGACCUGGGGAUGCCAGCUGCUCUUCCUGCUGCUGCUCCUUCCAGACUGUCUCUGUUUUCAGUGAGCCAAACCUCAGACUGUGCCCCUGAGCCCUGACUCCCAGGGAAGGUACAGAAUGUGCUGAGACUAGAAACAGCACUACAGGAAGGGGCAUUUACAGUGCUUAUUACACUUAAUUAGGACUAGAGGAAGUGCUUCCUUAGUGCCUCAGCUGAUGCACUGGGUGAAACACCUUCUUCAGCAGUUAGAUACUUAGGAAGUGGCAAGGAAGAACCCCUCACUUUUAAACCAAAAUAAAACAACUUCCAGUCUUACUUGCCUUGACCUGUUUCUCUCCACAGCAGAAAAUGCAUCACUGAUAAGCUUGUUGGGGUAAUGGUCAAUGAGAUGCUGUUUCACUUAGAUCUGAGGAGAUUUUAGGGAGAAGGCAGUAAAUUUGAUGUAUUCUAGACAGUCACUGGCCCAAGGUCAGUGGAACAAACACCAGGAAGCCAAGAAGAACAGACAGAAUAGUUAAAAUCUUACAAACCACAACACGGACGGAUUAUCACAGCAAACUUUGUUUAAGUUCAUAUGGCAAUGAGGAUCUUUGUCCUCUGGGAACUGCAGCUCCUGCUGUUUGUCCCCCAUGCUGCUCCAAGACAUAAUCACUUGCCCAACUUUCCCUGGUCAUCAAGAGAGCUGUAAUUUGGACCAAGACUUCAGCACUAAACCAAGGAGGGUUUUGCCCAGAUGAAGCACAGGGCAGGAGGAGGAAUGGAAUUUUCCCUUCCAUGGCUGUAGUUCUGCAGGCACCCAAACACAACGUAAAUGCCUGAAUUCAUACAGCAGGGACUGGACUCAGUUCAAAGGUGGAAUGUGCUCAGCCUCCUUGUGUGCAAACCUCACCUUCCCUGUGAGUCCAGCACCAGGCAGUCCAGCACUGCUGAGCUCUUAUGUUGCCUCCUGUUUGGGCCUUUGCUUCGCUUCCCUUCAAACACUUGGCUCUAGGAAUUGGUGCAUCUCAUCUUUCACUUUGAAACUCUCUGUUCCUGCUAGCUACUGAGUCACCUGGGAACUGCAGAUCCUAAGAGUUUGGAAGCUACAAGAUAUAAAAAAAUAAAGCCUUUAAAAACUGUAUUGUCUUAAUUCCCAGAGGAGGUGGAUUGUAACUCGUGUCCUUGAAUGCUCUGCUGAGGUGCUCACCCCAUUUCUCUUGUAAACUAAAAUUUUGUUUAUUUUGCAAUGUGAAAUAUUUACCCAAGAACUUUCUUCUCUCCCCAGGUUAGUCGUAAUGCCUGUGGAGAAAGACUGACUGCUUCUUAAAAAUCUGUCAAGUCUGGGUAGAGGACACAGACAAGCAGCCUGGUGUGGGGAGUUGGCAGGGCUGUUUUGGAUGAAUUAUUACACGACCUCACACUGUACUCAUUUGAUUCAAGCAUGAACUUUCCUGAAGCAGGGAAUUUUGGGUUCUGCAUUCAGCUGUGAGAGCUGAAUAUCACUUUCCAGAUGGGCAUCCACACUUCUUGAAGAAAACCCUGGUUCGAUCUUGGCCAUCAAGGCACUGGGAAUUUUCCUUGAUGCUGUUCCAGAGCUCCAUAAAUGCUGUGUCCCAGAGAGGUUGUGACUUGUCUGGGGGCUGCUGGUCAGACCUGUCUGCAGAGGCCACUGGACCUGAGAGCAUCGAGGGGGACAUCAGGGCCGGGCCCUGGCGAGGGCUGCGGAUUGUACCUUUUUUUGUUCCCUUUAGUUUUGCUGUAGUGCAUGGCCAUGCUUCAGGACUUCCAAGGGCUCCUUCUCUAAUCUCCCCAGCAGGAUUACUGCCCCUGGAAAUCAUGAGGGCUUGGACUAGCUAUCAGCUUUAUCAGGAAAGCUUCUUUCCGGCCAAGCCAGUGAGAGCUUUGCUAAGCAGGAACCUUGGGUUGAAGCCGCUCUUCUCAUAUUUCACAGAUGGCCUCAAUGAAUGAUUUACUAGGAGAGCAGAAGAUUAGCCAGAUUCCUCCAACUGCAUCUCAAGUCACAUAAAGCACUUGGUUUUGCUGGAGCGUGGGCCAUUGCUAUUUCUUUAGCCUCGUUAGAGGGUUUUACAGCUACUAAUUGCCCUGCACUCCCUUCCCUGGGGAUCAGGUGUCUCCUGGGGAGGAUCCACGCUCCUGCCCGUGCCCUGGAACAGCUGUGCCACUGCAGGCUGCUCCACGUGGGCAGGAACCCAACAGCCCUGAAGUGUGGUGUCUCCAGCUGUGUUUUACUGGAGAGGUUGUGUCCUUCUGGAAGAGAGAUGGUAAAAGGAAUACUUAAAAUAUGCAAUGAGGUGUUCCCAUAAAAUUAUCAAAAGCUUUGCUGAAUCUUCCCGUGGAGAAAAGCACCACUGCAGAGUUCAAGUGAACAGUGGUUUGGGAAGGGCAAACCUCUAGCUUUAAUAUUUUAACUAGUCUCCAAGGCUUGGAUGAGCUCUCCUGGGGGAAGGGAGAUUACCCCGUGUUUGCCUGUUACAGAGUUUCUCACAUUUUUCUCCUUUACACUUGGCAACCAGAACUCUGCGUCUGUCUCUCUAUGGCAAUUGCUACAGAAUCUGGCUGUUUUUUAAAAGACUGCAGUAUUGAUUUAAACAUCCAGAUUGGAAAAACAGGGUUUAAAGCGGACCAACUUUUUCCUUUAGAGUGAGACUUGUUAAAGAUCUUUGUUAAAUUAUUUUACAAGGGGUCUCACAAGAUGCACAGAUCUUUGCAUGUAAUCAUUUGUAUGAUUUCCAUUGUGCUUUUCUCCCCUGCCCACUAAAUCAAAACACAAUCCUGAGGUCACUAAAGGGCUUGCAGGGAGGGAUGGCCCAUUGCUAUCCAUGUCUGAAGCGUGCAUGCCAUAAAGCCUAAAGCAGUAUUGGCAUGUGCUGAUCCCCUGUGAACAGGCUUUGAUUUACAGCCGUCAGAGAUGAGAGCUCUGGGGCUCACUGGGGGAAUCAACCCCUACCAGAAAUGCUUAAAAUACUUGGAGUUUAGCCAAGAGGGUAAGAAAAGAGGGGUUUGUGUCUUCCUUUCUCUCUGCUGUGAUCUCCUCUCAUGCAACACUUAGAGCUGUGCAAGACACAGGGAUGAGAAGAAACAGCCCAGACAGCUUUGUCCCCAGGACAUCAAAAGUCAUUGAAGAUCCACAGUCUGCCCCAGAAGUACAAGCAUAAUAAAAUUUGCAACUUUUCUGAUUUUUGCAUCACCAUUAGACAGAAAAAUUUGUCCUGAAUCUACACCCUGGCAGUUCCUUUUGGUUGAACCUAUGGCAUAAAGAAGUCCCCUUGAUGAAAGCUCCCCCACCACAGUUCUUCAGGACUAAAAUUUUCCCACAGUAGCAAAAUUUUAACCCUGAAGCAGGGUGAGGGAAGAGUUAUAAAAAAUAUAGGACCACAACAUUCUGUUUUCUUCUCAGUGAAGGUAGAAAUAAAGCAUUUGUGUACAUUUCCAGGACAGAAUAUUAUCUGCCACCAGUUGUGUCUCAUAUAAACGAGUUGUGCAUCGGCAUUUGUUGCACAAUUUUUCAAGCCUAUCAGUCAGCAGAGCAGACCUUUAUUUUGAGAUGACUGCAUCCUCCCCAUGAUCCAACUGGCCUGUAGGAGCAGAAUAUUAACACCAAACAUCACUUUAAAAGCAAAUAGCAUCCUUUGAUGUUUAAAUAUAAAAAAGGACAGCCUGUGUUUAUGAGGGCAGCAUCAAAUCUCAGGGGAUUACUCACCAUGGCAAUUUUUUGAGGCUUUUAAGUCACUCACACAGAUUUUAUCCAUAGGCUGCCAGACCAGGAGGAUCCCUGGGGUUGCCUGAAUGUGAUCUCCCACCAGUGACCAUGGAAGGUCUUGGAGCCCUGCAAGUCCUCAUCAAAGGCUGAGACUCCACUUCUCAUUGCCAAGCAGAUGGGGCUGUUGAUCAUGGUUUGAAAAGGCACUGUCAAAAGAUGGAGAAAUUAACAGGAAGAAUUCAAAGUUGUGAGAAAAGACUGUGAAAUAGUUAAUUUCCUUAAUUUUUAAAUAUCUCAUUAUUUUCAGAUGUAAGAUCGUUGUGCCAGAUGCACCAAAUGGACACCUGGGACCCCAAUGUCAUACUCAGAAAAGGUUCUGGGCUGUGAGUCCAGCAUUCCAGCCUUUGUUGUGCAUCCCACCACAUGUGCAUGUCUGGAAGCCUGUGUUAGCAAUGGUGAGACAGCUCUGCAAUACACUGCUAGAAAACUUUCCUCUUGCAGUGCUGUCUUGCUUUUUAUUCUAUUCCUCCUGGUUUUCUAUUCCUCCUGUCACUGCCAAUGCAGCAGUGGAUCUGCUCCUCCAGGAGGUAUUGCUCUCUGUGUGCCUGUGGUGCCUCAGGUUUUAGCUUUUAUAUUUUCAGACUCUGUGCUGCUUUAGUGUGUAGUUCUGAGCUUCAUAUUAGGGGAUGGUGAGCUCUCUGCACAGAGCAGGGAAACAAAACAAUUCCUGCUCCAGCUUGGGACCAAGGACAAAUGAUCCAAAUCUCAGCCCCAAGAGCAUGACCAAUGUGGACUGAAGAGAGAAAAACAAGAAGGAUGGGACUGCAUGGGCUAAAGCUGGAAUUGGACAAUUAACUCCAAUAUGCAAAAGGAGCAGAACUGAUCAAAGUGAGAGACCCCGUGACCAGCUGUCUGUUUUGUGACCAUUUUGGUUCCUCUUGGAUGCAGCCCUGGCUGGGCUCUUGUGCUGCCCAAGGUGGAUCCAUGGAAUCCUUUUAAUAAAUCCCUACUUUAUUCUUUAACUCUGUCCAGCCUCUGUUCCAGGGCAGCCUUCCCAAGGCAUCACCUGCCCUUGUCCGUGCACAGAUUUAAGAUAUCCCUUUUCAAAGGCAAACAGGACUUGUAAAAAGCAAUAAGCUAAACACUGAAAUAAAAAUGUAUUUAUGAGAUUACUUAAAA